rnacentral:piRNA from 1 species
UGAAGACUCACCCAUGUACUAGA